rnacentral:rRNA from 1 species
GGCCUAGGCGGUUAAGUAAGUCAAAGGUGAAAUCUGCACCGCUCACCGGGCAAAUUGCCUCUGAUACUGCUUGACUCGAAUUCGGACGAGGGAACCGGAAUUCCGUGUGUAGCGGUGAAAUGCGUAGAUAUACGGAGGAACACCAGUGGCGAAGGCGGGUUCCUGGGCCGACACUGACGCUGAAGCCCGAAAGCGUGGGGAGCGAACG